GACGAUCGCUCCACAUGGAAGAGGCGGAGGGCCAUCGCGGCCGGGGAGCAGUACGGGCACGGCAGGGGGAACGGGGGCAAACCGGGGCUGGGUCCUUGUCCCCCUGUCUGGCCUGCAUGCCUCAGUGGGGGUGCAGAGAAGGGAAGCUGGGCCUUAACAGCCUCUCUGCGCCUUGGUUUUGCGUCACUUGAAACCAAUAACCUCGUGUCUGUGAACUUCAGUGAGAAGACCAUUGGUGACAGACCAGAGAUCUCUGCUGGGUUAUGGUACCAUGAUAACAAGGGGACAUGGAGAUGACUCGAAAGCCUUGAAGCAGGAAAUUAAUCAUAUUUGAAAAGGUGUUAAUGUUUUUGUCUUCAGAGUAGACAAGGACAGAGAUGAUUUGACCAUGUUAGUUAACCAUGAUUAUGCCACAUUUAAAACUGUGCUGACUCAAAUAUGUGUUUUGAAGCCUUUGUUGCUAUGGAAAAGCUCACAAAUUAUUGAUAAAUAUAGUGAGAAACAAGAGCAAAUUAUUCCUUGCCCACAUCUGUAUCAGCCCUGUGUGCUGUAAGGAAGAUUGCAAGUUGCACUUUGUGAAAACUAUUACAUCCCAUGUUGCAGCGUUUUUUCUGCAGACAGAAGGAAUUUGGUGUGAAUCUGUAAGAUUGUGUCUCUGCAGACACUCUGCUGUACGCCCUCUUCUCAGAACCACAAUCCUGCUCUAUGCCCAUAAAUGAGAAACCACCAUGUGGGAUUAUUUUGAUUUACAGCUCUGUAGCAGGGAGAAGAAUUCAUUCUGUUACUCAGCCAACUAUUGCACAACACCAGCAGGCAAAGUGUUCUUUUAAGAGCAAAACACAUAAUCCCACUGGUGUCAACAUGUAAGACUGAAGAAUGUUGCAGUAAAACCCCUCUUUGUUUUCUGGACUCCCGAAUUAUUGACAUGCAAUUACAUUUUUUCAUUCUUCUAAAUCUGUUUGGUCCUAUCAAUAAUAGUAAUGUAAUGUGACUGAUGAGAUAGCACCUAAAGUAUUUUCCAUUAUGAAAAAUGUUUUAAACACAUGCCAUAAACAUCACUGCUAAAUAUUAAGGACUGAAUAUUAUCUCAUUCCUGUAAAGUACGGGUGUGGUGAAUAGUUCACAGUUUAACAUAUGUUCUCGUUUGGUUGCACAAUACAAUGCAAUUGAAACAUGAGAUAUCCUUAAAGAUGACCAAAUUAUUUGCUUAAUGACUGAUUUGUUGGCUUUGUGUUUUGCGUUGGUGUUUGUUAGAUUGUGGAUUUUUUGUUUAGAUUAAGUUGCAGGAGUAAUGCAGCAGUGAUUCAGCCUUGAUGGAACUGUUUAAGGUGCACAGUUGCUCAGUCUGACUGAGCAGAAGCAAAAGAACAUUAAUUGAAUUUUAACACCAUCAGCUGACAGGGACUUUGUCACCUUAUGUUUCUUUCCUAUUAUCUGUGUCAAAAGAUAGUGCAUCACUUUCACCUGUUGUGUUCAACAGGUUUAACUACAAAAGUCUGCUGACCAUUCAUAAAAAAGUUUCUUCAACUGAAGUAUCAUUCCUCACUCAACCUGUUGUCAUAAUUAAGACUUUUCAUGCACAUGGAAUAAGAUCUGCCCAAACAAUAGAAUAGAUCUUCAUUUGGUCAAUGCUCUGUGUACAAUUUAUUAUAAACUGUAUUACUUAAGUCUAAUCCUCAUCACCAGAGGGCUUAAACUUUGCUGAUAAUGGGGUUUUGGCUAAUGUAAAAACCUGUAAAAAUGAAAUAAAAUAAUACAGGAAGAGAAUUUAUGAUUAAACUACAUUUAUCCCUCAA